AUUGAACGCUGGCGGCAUGCCUUACACAUGCAAGUCGAACGGCAGCACGGGGCAACCUGGUGGCGAGUGGCGAACGGGUGAGUAAUGCAUCGGAACGUACCUUUCAGUGGGGGAUAACGUAGCGAAAGUUACGCUAAUACCGCAUAUUCUGUGAGCAGGAAAGCAGGGGAUCGAAAGACCUUGCGCUGAUUGAGCGGCCGAGGUCAGAUUAGCAAGUUGGAGGGGUAAAGGCUCACCAAGGCGACGGUCGGUAGCGGGUCUGAGAGGAUGAUCCGCCACACUGGAACUGAGACGCGGUCCAGACUCCUACGGGAGGCAGCAGUUGGGAAGUUUGGACAAUGGGGGCAACCCUGAUCCAGCCAUGCCGCGUGAGUGAAGAAGGCCUUCGGGUUGUAAAGCUCUUUCGGCCGGGAAGAAAUCGCACGGGCUAAUACCCUGUGUGGAUGACGGUACCGGAAUAAGAAGCACCGGCUAACUACGUGCCAGCCGCCGCGGUAACAC
rnacentral:rRNA from 1 species